GAGCCACUUCCUUUCCCGGCCGCGCUGUAGAGCGUGAGCGGCUUGUGCUCCAUGGCGGGCUGCGGAGGCCGGGGGCGGCGGGCCCCGGCGUGUCCUCGGGCGUUUCCAGGUGCAACAAAACCUGCCUCCUUUGAAGGUACUUGAACAAAUGUUUUCCAAAAACUUGCCAUGAAACGUAAUUGGAACAAUCUACUAGGACUACAUUUGCCAAUAACAAGCAUGUAGGUGGCUGAAGUGAUUGUCCAUCUUUGGGAGCUGUGAUGUUUAAAAACCCUUCAUUUUUGGGGGUGCAGCCUACAUUUUGGAAGGUAAAAUGAAGACUUGGUCAAGAAACCAUGAACAGAAGCGAAUGGUGAAAUUAGUAUUUAAUUUGUUAUUAAUAAAUAAGACAUAAACAGUUAA